GGUGUUUUAGCUCAGUGGUAGAGUGCUUGCCUAGCAUGCAUGAUGCACUGGGUUUGAGCCUCAGCACCA
rnacentral:tRNA from 1 species